GGCCCCAUCGUCUAGAGGCCCAGGACAGAUGGUUCUCAGCCAUCAGACACGGGUUCGAAUCCCGUUGGGGCUA
rnacentral:tRNA from 1 species